rnacentral:lncRNA from 1 species
CUAAAUUCUUAACCCCUGGCUUAAAUCUAUUUCCGUCAGAACUCUCCCCCAAUUCGAUUUGCAGAGUGCCAUCAUCUUCCAAGCGACCUGGAAACAGUAUAAUUGGAUCUGCUGGCGGGAUCUCUGAACCAAAGGCACGUCGAAUUCAAAACAAAGAGCAGAAGGUUCAGCAUAAUUUUGAGAAUUUUUUUUUAACAUCAUACAGUUAAAUAAAAAAAAAAAAAAACCAUAGCUGAUUCCUCCAAUUUGUCUGCCAUUUGCCAGCAACGCAAUUCACAAAUCUUUUGGCAGGUUACUCAUAAUCUGAAAAAAUCAUUGAAAUCAUUGUAAAUCAAAUAUGCCAAAUGAUUUACCUCCAUCUGCUCCAUCAAUACGUGCGAAUCAUCACCCUUUCAAAAGCGGUCGGACUUCACUGAUCGGAGGGACGGAGAAGCUCUCUCUCCUACCACCCCCGAGAAAGAGACAAGAAUACGGCAACCCGUCGCUGUUCCCAACUCGAUUUCUAGGGUUCGUUUCCAG